rnacentral:misc_RNA from 1 species
UUCAGAAUCUGCUCCUAAAAUCAAAAUCUACCACAAUACAGACCACCACUCUUCCACGAACCCAUCAAACUUCAGAAAUCACUCCUCUACAAAUCACCUAACAUAAAUUGAAUGGAUCCAAUUUUUCGUGAAUUGUUUCAAUCAGUCUUACUUGUGAUUAAAGGGAAAGGGAUGACUGGAUAUCUCAAUGGCGAGAUUGCGCAACCAGCAAGCACUGAUGCUCAUUACAAGAAGUGGGAGGCAGAAAAUUCUAUUGUAAUGGCAUGGUUGAUUAAUUCUAUGGAACCAAAAAUUGGAAGAACUUAUUUGUUCUACAAAACUGCUCAUGAAAUCUGGAAGGCAGUUCAGGAGAUGUACUUUGAUUUUGAAAACACAUCUCAAUGCUUUGAGAUACGAUCCACUAUUUGCAAUACUCGACAAGGGACAAGGUCAGUAACCGAGUAUUACAAUAUUCUCAUUGAGUUAUGGCAGGAAAUGGAUCUUUUUUAUGAAACUACUUGGAACUGCCCUGAUGAUGGAGUGCUCUACAACAAGAUUCUUGAAAAGGAUCGAGUGUUUGAUUUUCUUCAAGGACUGAACCAAGAUUUGGAUGAAGUUAGGGGAAGAAUACUUGGCACCAAACCUCUUCCAUCUAUUCGAGAAGUAUUUGCUGAAGUUAGACGUGAAGAAAGUCAGAAGAGAGUUAUGCUUCACAGUUCCCCUAAUUCCAACAGUCAAGAUAGUUCUGCUUUCCUAACAAUUCGAGUCACCUCAACCAACAACAACAAUAAAAAAUCCAAAGACAAUAAAUUGUGGUGUGAUCAUUGCAAUAAGCCAUAUCAUACAAAAGAGACGUGCUGGGAGAUCCAUGGAAAGCCAGCAAACUGGAAACCACGAAGUCAGCGAACGUCAGCAUAUGCAGCACAGUCUUCCACAGAAAUCCAAAGAACCAAUUCUUCCAUGCAAUUCUCAGCUGAACAAUAAGAAGUAUUGAGGAACCUAUUGCAGCCAUCUCAACCAUCCAAAGACUCUGAAGUUGGUCAAUCCACUUCUAUGGCAACUAUUGCUCAACGAGGAUCUGUCUUGGGGAAGAUGAUUGGCAAUGCUCAGGAACGAAAUGGUCUUUAUUACUUCACCGGUUCUCCUUUGAAGUCUAGUAUUCGUGAAAUAUUUUCCAUGUCCACUAUUUCCAACUCUGAUGUGCUAUGGCACAAACGCCUUGGUCCUCCUAGUUUUCAUUAUCUAAAAAACUUAUAUCCAAAGUUGUUGGUCAAUAAAGAUCCCUCUUUGUUCUAGUGUGAGUCUUGUAUCUAUGCAAAACAACCAAGGAAUAAUUAUCCUGGUCAUUCCUACCAAUCUUCAAAAACUUUUCAUCUUAUCCACAGUGAUAUUUGGGGGCCAGCAAGAUCCUCUAAUAUCACAGGAUCAAGAUGGUUCAUUACUUUCAUUGAUGACCACACUCGUGUAUGUUGGGUGUAUCUUUUAAAAGACAAAUCUGAAGCUGAGUCCAUUUUCAAACAAUUUCACAAAAUGGUCAAAAAUCUGUUCCAAUCAUUUAUUCAAAUUCUUAGAACAGAUAAUGGGAAAGAAUAUUUUACACAUGAUCUUAAGGAUUAUUUUGUUGAGUAUGGUAUUUUUCAUCAAACCUCAUGUGCUUAUACUCCUCAGCAAAAUGAGUAGCCGAAAGAAAAAAUAGUCAUCUUUUAGAAGUUGCACGUUCCCUUAUGUUUACCUCUAAUGUCCCACAUUGUUUUUGGGGAGAGGCUCUAUUAACUUCUGCAUACCUCAUUAAUCAGCUUCCUUCAAAAACUCUUCACUUUCUCACUCCUUUACAUUGUUUACAAAAAUAUUUCCCUCAUGUCCGUAUCUUAAAUUCAUUGUCCCCUUGAGUUUUUGGUUGUACGGUUUAUGUUCAUAACACAAAUCCAAACUAUGGGAAACUAGACCCAAAAGCCAUCAAAUGUAUUUUUUUGGGUUAUUCAUCUACACAAAAAGGUUACAAGUGUUAUUGUCCCUCUUUUAAAAGAUUUAUAGUCUCAUAUGAUGAAACCUUUCUUGAGCAUCAAAGUUUCUAUCCUAAUGCUUCUCUUCAAGGGGAGAAAUUAAGUGAAGAAAAUCAUUGGGAUCCAUCUAUUUCUCUUCCUAUUUCUCUCCCAGCAGCUCCUCCACUGGUACCUUCUCAAACUCAAACAUCUUCAAAUCAGUUUGAGUCAACUCAGGAAAUAGAUCAAGGGGGAGAACCAGAUCUGGAUGAAACUAGUAGACCACAAGUUUCUCUUCAAAACCAAGCUUUGGAACCGGAGGAAAAUCCUUCAACUAAAGUUCCACCACAAGAAGGAUCAGGAUGAAGGGGGUUCAGGGAAGGAAGGUGCAGAGCAGGAAGUACAAGAAGUGUUG